GGUAGCGUGGCCGAGCGGUCUAAGGCGCUGGUUUAAGGCACCAGUCCCUUCGGGGGCGUGGGUUCGAAUCCCACCGCUGCCA
rnacentral:tRNA from 1 species